rfam:Anopheles epiroticus strain epiroticus2 unplaced genomic scaffold supercont1.2396, whole genome shotgun sequence.
UCAACGGUCCUUUUCAGGACCACAAUCCGUUAGCGUUGCCUAAAAU